UAAUCAAACUUAAGGCACCAAAAAGGAAAAAAUAUCUGUGUUCUCCAAUAUCAGCCCUAUCUAUUGUUGCUCAAAAUUUCCAUCGGCUAUUCUCCAAUAUCACGGCCUAGCUAUUGUUGCUCAAAAUUUCCAUUGGCAAUUUUCUCAUUGAACGCAACUGGCAGCGAUUUCAUCAAGUUUUUUCAACUCUGCGGUGAUCCAUAUCAAAAGAGACGUCACUUCUUGCUCCAUCAUUGGCAACCCUGGAUGUAUAAUUGCUUAUCAGGCACCAAAUUAGGAUGGUAGUAAGAAUGAACAGCCAGAGAAUCAAUCAGAGUCUCACAACGAGUCUUCAUCCCUUUCAACUGGAAUGUCUAUCCCUGGCACUGUAACACCAAAUAUGAACUAUGUGAUGCCCACACAAUUUGGAAAUGGAAAUGAUAUGGUAUAUUUAAAGUACCUAUUAACUUCUACCGCCAUAUUUUUGAAGCACCACUAUUAAGUCUUGAUUUGAUAUCUUCUUCCUCUUGAUAAUUAUUAUGGCUGACAGAUGCAACUCCUCCCCCCCUGUUCAUUCAAUCAGAUGUGAUCCUAGAAGUUUUAUCAUGAUGCAGUUAGGGGUCUCGUCCAAUAGUUUAUAAGUAUCACAAAAAAACUGAUUGUGAACAAAAGGAGUUAGGGCAUGUAGAUCUAUUGAUGAUGGUUCUGUGAGUAUUAUCAUUUUUGCACUUGUUAAAAGGCUUCUUUGUUUUGUGAGAUGAAGUGCACAUGUUUAUAUUUUGUCAUAGUAAUAAUAAGUUAUAUCAUUUUGAUCUUCCUUGAUGAUUAGCAGAGACAUCACUUUGACACUUGUAACAGGUAACCUUGUAUAUAACUUGCUAAAUAAUUGGUUGUGCAAAAGCAUGAAAGCCCAGUUGGUAAUAAAUAGGUUAAUAUGGGGCAUAUGGAGCUAUGACUGCACUUAUGACGCAGAGAUAAAUACAUAUGAUGCAAAAGACUUUAGUUAUAUGAAUGAAUAGUCAGAUGUUUCCAGUCAACAAAUAAACUGUAGAAAGUUUCUUAACAUAUAGCACAACAGAAUACACUGGUGUUUUUUAGGUUAUUUGAGCAAAUAAUGGGUGAGUAUGAAUCAUUGAAGCGGCAGAUUAAUGCAUCAAGUAUUUGUAGUAUACCAAAUGUAUUCAGUAGUAGGAUGGGAAAUAUUUCUACUUAUAGAUUGUCAUGUUUUAUACCUGGCUGAUAUAGCAAGGGCCGAUAGUCCUGAUAAGUGAUUAGAAAAUUUGCAUGUUUAACUGGAGUCGAAUUUUUAAACUAGAAGAAGUCAAUUUCUGGUGAUGGCAAUCCCUACACCACUAUCGAGCUCUGCCGCUACCGGUGGCGGCUAUCAGAACCCUAACAAAUCAUAAGGAUUUUUUGCAAGUGCAAUAAAGAGGAAGCACAACUUUAUAUAAUUCUUCGCUAUGACGGGAAUUCUUCUUCUGAAUGUGAGAUCAUUAGGGAAGAAGUAUCAAAUACAUGAUCUGCAGGAGGAUAACGCUACACUAAGGGAAGAACAAGAAGGAUUGUUAACUGAAUGAAUCAUAUUAAGCAAAGCCUCCUUGCUGAAGUGGUGCUUUUGCUUCAAGUCUUCGUCAGCUAUUUGGCGAUGAAAGCUAAAACAUUGCAGGCUCAAACAACUUAUCCUUAUCUAGACCCAUACUAUAGGAGCAUCUUUGCACCGUACGAUGCACAUCCUUAUCCUACACAACCUUAUCCAGCACAACCAAUGGUUCACGUUCACCUAAUGGGAAUUCAACAAGCUGGUGUUCCUUUGCCAUCAGACGCGAUAGAUGAACCUAUUUUUGUUAAUGCAAAAUAGUAUCAUGGAAUCUUAAGGCGUCGACAAUCUCGCGCAAAAGCUGAGUCAGAAAAGAAACUUCUAAAAGCUAGGAAGGAUGUCAGGGAAGAUCCACAUAUAGUAGUGGAUGGUUAUAUAUAAGGUGAUGUAAUAAAAGGAUGGAUGUACAGUGGACACGAUACUUCUCCGAUGACAAAACUCAAGAUCGAUACUUGUGAUUUGAUUCCCAAUUAUGCUCUCUAUCACACAAUUCAGGAAUGGCAGCAGCAGUCCUGAAACUCAUUCAGGUCUAUAAUGCCUUCUACAAACAAAAACAGCUUCAAAUAUGAACUAUGUACUGAUAUAGAAAGUUAGUCAUGUCUUGUGGUAGUUCCACCAAGUUAAUACUUGGAUUUGAGUUAUAAUAACUUGUGAGGUAAGUAUAUAAGUAUUACUACAAUACUGAGAUGUACAAAUUUUAUCACUAUGUAUACUGGAUUUGAUUCUCGAUAGUAAUCUGAUAUGAAUUGAUGAAAUUUAUUAUUUUCUGA